rfam:Verticillium dahliae VdLs.17 supercont1.53 mitochondrial scaffold, whole genome shotgun sequence.
UAUGUUGUGGACUAAUGGGUAAGUCAUAAAUUUUUGAUAUUUACUAUUAAGUGUUCGAAUCACUUCAACAUAA